UACGAAGGGGGCUAGCGUUGUUCGGAAUAACUGGGCGUAAAGCGCAUGUAGGCGGAUCUUUAAGUUAGAGAUGAAAUCCCAGGGCUCAACCCCGGCAUUGCCUUUGAUACUGGAGAUCUGGAGUCUGGGAGAGGUGAGUGGAAGUCCGAGUGUAGAGGUGAAAUUCGUAGAUAUUCGGAGGAACACCAGUGGCGAAGGCGGCUCACUGGCCCGAGACUGACGCUGAGAUGCGAAAGCGUGGGGAGCAAACAGG
rnacentral:rRNA from 1 species